rnacentral:rRNA from 1 species
GACGAACGCUGGCGGCGUGCCUAAUACAUGCAAGUAGAACGCUGAAGAGAGGAGCUUGCUCUUCUUGGAAGAGUUGCGAACGGGUGAGUAACGCGUAGGUAACCUGCCUUGUAGCGGGGGAUAACUAUUGGAAACGAUAGCUAAUACCGCAUAACAAUGGGUGACCCAUGUCAUUCAUUUGAAAGGGGCAACUGCUCCACUACAAGAUGGACCUGCGUUGUAUUAGCUAGUAGGUGAGGUAACGGCUCACCUAGGCGACGAUACAUAGCCGACCUGAGAGGGUGAUCGGCCACACUGGGACUGAGACACGGCCCAGACUCCUACGGGAGGCAGCAGUAGGGAAUCUUCGGCAAUGGGGGCAACCCUGACCGAGCAACGCCGCGUGAGUGAAGAAGGUUUUCGGAUCGUAAAGCUCUGUUGUAAGAGAAGAACGAGUGUGAGAGUGGAAAGUUCACACUGUGACGGUAACUUACCAGAAAGGGACGGCUAACUACGUGCCAGCAGCCGCGGUAAUACGUAGGUCCCGAGCGUUAUCCGGAUUUAUUGGGCGUAAAGCGAGCGCAGGCGGUUAGAUAAGUCUGAAGUUAAAGGCUGUGGCUUAACCAUAGUACGCUUUGGAAACUGUUUAACUUGAGUGCAAGAGGGGAGAGUGGAAUUCCAUGUGUAGCGGUGAAAUGCGUAGAUAUAUGGAGGAACACCGGUGGCGAAAGCGGCUCUCUGGCUCGUAACUGACGCUGAGGCUCGAAAGCGUGGGGAGCAAACAGG